rnacentral:lncRNA from 1 species
GAUAUGGCUCCAACCAUUACUAUGAAUAAAAUCACUUAUUUACUACCUUUGAUUUGGAUGCACUAACUUCAACCCCCUAUAACUUCUUCAUCCAAACUUCAAAUUCAUCAAAAAUUUAAUAAAAAAGUGAUAAAAAUAUAUUCUUUCCAAUUCUAGUCGUUGAUCUUUUGUUGCUCUUUGUAAACAUAUUUUAUGCUCCAAAGAGUGAUAGUAGGUAUGAAAUUGACACCUUAACUUUGAGUACCAAUAACUCCU